rnacentral:lncRNA from 1 species
UCCAUCCCCGUUUUCUUCGGGGAAUUUGUUUUAAAUCAAUUUUAUUUCUAUUUGGUCAAUCUUAAAUAAUGGCAAGUUUACCAGUUUUAUUUCUAUUUGCAUUCAUUAAAAUUGUAAUAGCACGUGUCUAUGUUUCCUUUGUGAAAAUAAUGGCAAGUUUACCAGAUUGGAGGAAAUAUUUUCUCUUCGGAUGCGUAAUGUGCAAAUGAAAUUUCUUCUUAAUUGAUCACACUAUUUGAAUAUGGUGGGUUGAUUCUUGGAAAAAUACAUGAAGCACUUAACAGACGUAUUGUACCUAAAGUCUUUAUAUUGUGCCUAAAGUGCCUGAGAAGUGAAUACGAAUAAAUCAUUGAUCAUAGAUGACUGAUGGGAGGAUGAAUACAGCUCAUCAUCACUUUCGUUGCUAAAAAAAUGUUUUGAAGUAGAAAAGGGGAGAGAGAAAAAUACCCCUUCAUUAUUCACCAUUUCAUAUUUAUUGCAAAUAAGCUAAAUUCUAGUUGUAUAUCGAGGGUCUAUAUAAAUGUGUCGACUUAUAAUUUUCCUUCAUUAUUCACCAUUUCAUAUUUAUUGCAAAUAAGCUAAAUUCUAGUUGUAUAUGGAGGGUCUAUAUAAACAUGUUGACUUAUAUUUUUAUAUAAACUAACUUGGUUUGUAUUUAUUUCACAUUUGUUUGAACAUUGAUAUUUUUAUAUUAACGAACUUGGUUUAGGUUACGUAUUAAAAGUAGCAUAAUGUACUUUUUUGUGUUAUGUAAGUCGUUGUUCGGUAGGUUUUGUUCAUUUAAGUGUUAUUUACCAUAUUUCCUAAAAUAGGUACUGAAUCUCAUUUGCUUAUAGUUAAAAGUGGGAUCCAUGGACGAGUAACAAUUAAAAAUCUCCUCUUUACUUUUUGUGGAAUUAAUUAGUUGCAUUGUUCGGAGGAAAUACAGUUGUAAAAAAAAUAAAAUUAUGUACUUGCUUCUUUGGCCUCCGUACAUGCAUAAAUUUAUAUCUUACGUUCUCAAGCUUGUCAUUUGAUUAAUUGCUUAAUUUCUUCAAUGCUUUAAAAACAAUGUCGCCAAUGAGGAAAAAAUGCCCGUGAUUGAUGUUAUAUAGUUUGGGUACUUAAGGCUUUGGAUAAUGGAGUUUUGUCAAAAAUUAGCUGGUGGUUGUUAAGACUAAGCUCGUGUGGAAAAUUGUUAGGAAGAAAAUUAUGGAAGCUGAUGAGGCUGUUUUAGUUUUACUCACUGUUGAGGUUUUUAUUUUUAUUUUAUUUUAUUUAAAUGUAUUAGAUUUUUAGGUACUUUAGAAUUUUGGAUUUGAAUUUUGUAAGGAUAUUGUUACAUUUUGGAG